AGGGCCAUCCACCCACGCAGGCAAACAAAUGGGAGCACAGCUAUUUAUGAAGGCAAAAUUACUGACAGAUGCGUGGCCUCCGGAGCUGUGGAGCAGGAGAUGGUGAGCCCCAGCUUGAGCUCACAGAGAUGCUCUUGCCGCCUCUGUUCAUCCUCAACAUCCUAGGAGCGUUUGCGGUUUCCUGUCUGGAUGUGCACCUGGGGACAGGCAGGAAGCUGCAGAGAGCCUCGAGGAAGAGUGGAUUCAUGACACCUAGGAAACAUGCCCCAGGUUGGCCUAGGUGCCUUCCUCUGGAGUCAGAGCUGGACCUUGCAGUCAGAAGAGAAGGUAGGAGCUCUGAAUGAGUCUAGUCUCCUGCCCAGUGUGCAGCCUUCAGAGCCGAGCUGAGGAUGCUCUGCACCCCA
rnacentral:lncRNA from 1 species